UACAGAGGUCUCAAGCGUUGUUCGGAUUCAUUGGGCGUAAAGGGUGCGUAGGCGGCGCGGUAAGUCGGGUGUGAAAUCUCGGAGCUUAACUCUGAAACUGCACUCGAUACUGCUCUGCUUGAGGACUGGAGAGGAGACUGGAAUUCACGGUGUAGCAGUGAAAUGCGUAGAUAUCGUGAGGAAGACCAGUGGCGAAGGCGGGUCUCUGGACAGUUCCUGACGCUGAGGCGCGAAGGCCAGGGGAGCAAACGGG
rnacentral:rRNA from 1 species